CUGUGAAGGUGUGCUGUGAGGCAUGCUGGAGGUAUCAGAAGUGCGAAUGCUGACAUAAGUAACGAUAAAGCGGGUGAAAAGCCCGCUCGCCGGAAGACCAAGGGUUCCUGUCCAACGUUAAUCGGGGCAGGGUGAGUCGACCCCUAAGGCGAGGCCGAAAGGCGUAGUCGAUGGGAAACAGGUUAAUAUUCCUGUACUUGGUGUUACUGCGAAGGGGGGACGGAGAAGGCUAUGUUGGCCGGGCGACGGUUGUCCCGGUUUAAGCGUGUAGGCUGGUUUUCCAGGCAAAUCCGGAAAAUCAAGGCUGAGGCGUGAUGACGAGGCACUACGGUGCUGAAGCAACAAAUGCCCUGCUUCCAGGAAAAGCCUCUAAGCAUCAGGUAACAUCAAAUCGUACCCCAAACCGACACAGGUGGUCAGGUAGAGAAUACCAAGGCGCUUGAGAGAACUCGGGUGAAGGAACUAGGCAAAAUGGUGCCGUAACUUCGGGAGAAGGCACGCUGAUAUGUAGGUGAAGUCCCUCGCGGAUGGAGCUGAAAUCAGUCGAAGAUACCAGCUGGCUGCAACUGUUUAUUAAAAACACAGCACUGUGCAAACACGAAAGUGGACGUAUACGGUGUGACGCCUGCCCGGUGCCGGAAGGUUAAUUGAUGGGGUCAGCGCAAGCGAAGCUCUUGAUCGAAGCCCCGGUAAACGGCGGCCGUAACUAUAACGGUCCUAAGGUAGCGAAAUUCCUUGUCGGGUAAGUUCCGACCUGCACGAAUGGCGUAAUGAUGGCCAGGCUGUCUCCACCCGAGACUCAGUGAAAUUGAACUCGCUGUGAAGAUGCAGUGUACCCGCGGCAAGACGGAAAGACCCCGUGAACCUUUACUAUAGCUUGACACUGAACAUUGAGCCUUGAUGUGUAGGAUAGGUGGGAGGCUUUGAAGUGUGGACGCCAGUCUGCAUGGAGCCGACCUUGAAAUACCACCCUUUAAUGUUUGAUGUUCUAACGUGGACCCGUGAUCCGGGUUGCGGACAGUGUCUGGUGGGUAGUUUGACUGGGGCGGUCUCCUCCUAAAGAGUAACGGAGGAGCACGAAGGUUGGCUAAUCCUGGUCGGACAUCAGGAGGUUAGUGCAAUGGCAUAAGCCAGCUUGACUGCGAGCGUGACGGCGCGAGCAGGUGCGAAAGCAGGUCAUAGUGAUCCGGUGGUUCUGAAUGGAAGGGCCAUCGCUCAACGGAUAAAAGGUACUCCGGGGAUAACAGGCUGAUACCGCCCAAGAGUUCAUAUCGACGGCGGUGUUUGGCACCUCGAUGUCGGCUCAUCACAUCCUGGGGCUGAAGUAGGUCCCAAGGGUAUGGCUGUUCGCCAUUUAAAGUGGUACGCGAGCUGGGUUUAGAACGUCGUGAGACAGUUCGGUCCCUAUCUGCCGUGGGCGCUGGAGAACUGAGGGGGGCUGCUCCUAGUACGAGAGGACCGGAGUGGACGCAUCACUGGUGUUCGGGUUGUCAUGCCAAUGGCACUGCCCGGUAGCUAAAUGCGGAAGAGAUAAGUGCUGAAAGCAUCUAAGCACGAAACUUGCCCCGAGAUGAGUUCUCCCUGACCCUUUAAGGGUCCUGAAGGAACGUUGAAGACGACGACGUUGAUAGGCCGGGUGUGUAAGCGCAGCGAUGCGUUGAGCUAACCGGUACUAAUGAACCGUGAGGCUUAACCUUACAACGCCGAAGGUGUUU
rnacentral:rRNA from 1 species